AUUGUUGGAAACGGCAACUAAUACCGUAUACGCCCUACGGGGGAAAAAUUUAUUGCUAUUAGAUGAGCCUAUAUUAGAUUAGCUAGUUGGUGGAGUAAUAGCCUACCAAGGCAAUGAUCUAUAGCUGAUCUGAGAGGAUGAUCAGCCACACUGGAACUGAGAUACGGUCCAGACUCCUACGGGAGGCAGCAGUGGGGAAUAUUGGACAAUGGGCGAAAGCCUGAUCCAGCCAUGCCGCAUGAGUGAAGAAGGCCUUUGGGUUGUAAAGCUCUUUUAGUGAGGAAGAUAAUGACGGUACUCACAGAAGAAGUCCUGGCUAACUCCGUGCCAGCAGCCGCGGUAAUACGGAGAGGGCUAGCGUUAUUCGGAAUUAUUGGGCGUAAAGGGCGCGUAGGCUGGUUAAUAAGUUAAAAGUGAAAUCCCGAGGCUUAACCUUGGAAUUGCUUUUAAAACUAUUAAUCUAGAGAUUGAAAGAGGAUAGAGGAAUUCCUGAUGUAGAGGUAAAAUUCGUAAAUAUUAGGAGGAACACCAGUGGCGAAGGCGUCUAUCUGGUUCAAAUCUGACGCUGAAGCGCGAAGGCGUGGGGAGCAAACAGGAUUAGAUACCCUGGUAGUCCACGCUGUAAA
rnacentral:rRNA from 1 species